UGUCCCGCCGCCGCACUCUGACCCCCACGCCCACCCACGCCGCGCGCGAGCACGGCCCGCACCAAGGCGAGCCGAGGCGGCGAGGCGAGCAGGCGAGACAGGUAGAGCGGCUGCGCCUGCUGCCUCCGCCCACCGAACCCCACCACCACCACCACCACCACCACCGAGGCGGCGGAGGCGGAGGGCGCGCGGCCCGCCACGGCAGACGGGCACAGUCCCUUGCCUUCCAAUUCGGUUGUCGGCUCGUCGCACGGCACGCAUCGAUUGCGCCCGCGCACGCGCCCCGCCCGUCGCUUGCCGUCUCCGCCCGCCCGCCCGCCCGCGCGCAAGCAACCUAUAUAGCGCGCCGCGAAGCCCGGCCGGCCGGCUCCCUCGUCGUCGUCGCGCCGCGGUGGGAGGGAGUGAGGGAGGGAGGGGGGGGGGCGAUGGAUCUGAAGGACGGCUGGGGGAGGGGGGCGGCGGGGCCGGGCCCGCUGUCGAGGCAGGGGUCGAUCUACUCGCUCACGUUCGACGAGCUCCAGAGCACGCUCGGCGGGAUGGGGGGAGGGCUCGGCAAGGACUUCGGCUCCAUGAACAUGGACGAGCUGCUGCGGAGCAUCUGGACCGCCGAGGAGAGCCAGGUCAUGGCGUCGGCCUCCGCGGCGGGGGCGCCCGCCGAGGACGGCGCCGCGGCGCUGCAGAGGCAGGGCUCCCUCACCCUGCCACGCACGCUCAGCGUCAAGACGGUGGACGAGGUCUGGCGGGACUUCGUCCGGGAGGUCCCGCCGCCCGCCGGGGCGGAGCCGCAGCCCACCCGGCAGCCGACCCUCGGGGAGAUGACGCUCGAGGAGUUCCUCGUCAGGGCCGGCGUCGUCCGGGACAACCCCGCCGCCGCGGCCAUGGCGGCGGCGGCGGCGGUCCCCGCGCAGCCGGUGGCUCCGCGUCCGAUUCAGGCGGUCAGCAAUGGCGCAUCCAUCUUUUUCGGCAACUUCGGGGCCGCCAGUGACGCCGGGCCGGGCGCGAUGGGGUUUGCGCCGGUCGGGAUUGGGGAUCAGGGCAUGGGCAACGGGCUCAUGCCUGGGGUGGCAGGGAUGGCGAGUGCUGCCGUCACUGUGAGCCCGGUGGAUACGUCGGUGGCCCAGCUGGACUCCGUGGGCAAGGGGAACGGGGACCUGUCCUCGCCCAUGGCGCCCGUGCCGUACCCAUUUGUGGGAGUCAUAAGGGGGAGGAGGAGCGGUGCGGGUGUGGAGAAGGUGGUGGAGAGGCGGCAGAGGAGAAUGAUCAAGAACAGGGAAUCUGCAGCUAGAUCCCGUGCCCGGAAGCAGCACAUUGGCCUUGCCUAUGCCAUGUUGAAAACGAUGGGUACUCGAUAAGGCAUAUACCAUGGAGUUGGAAGCUGAAGUUCAGAAACUCAAGGAACUGAACGCAGAAUUGCAGAAGAAGCAGGAAGAAAUGAUGGAAAUGCAGAAAAAUCAGGUCCUGGAAGUGGUCAGCAAUCCAUAUGCACAGAAGAAACGCUGCC